UUCCUCCAGGGUCCUAAUGUCAGUUAUAGACGCCCGGAAUGAUUUGAGUGUAACACAGGAAGUCCGUGUGACACACACAGCGUUGUUUUCGCUGUUAAAUCAACUGUUGACGGAGAAAUAUCAAAGGUAAUCCACAUGUUUUUGGACGGUGGAAAGAAGCCGGAGAACGAGGAGAAAACCCACGCACACACGGGGAGAGCACAUGACCUCCAUGAACACAGAGCCUGGUUCUGACCUGGUUGUGAACCCAGAUCUUCCUGCUGCAAUGAGAAUCACACACUCGUCUGUGGAUCACUGGACCAGAACUCCCUCUCACAAUGCAGCGAUUUGAUGAUC